rnacentral:piRNA from 1 species
AGGUUACCCGAGCAACUUUG